rnacentral:rRNA from 1 species
UGCUUCUCUGAUGUUAGCGGCGGACGGGUGAGUAACACGUGGAUAACCUACCUAUAAGACUGGGAUAACUUCGGGAAACCGGAGCUAAUACCGGAUAAUAUUUUGAACCGCAUGGUUCAAAAGUGAAAGACGGUCUUGCUGUCACUUAUAGAUGGAUCCGCGCUGCAUUAGCUAGUUGGUAAGGUAACGGCUUACCAAGGCAACGAUGCAUAGCCGACCUGAGAGGGUGAUCGGCCACACUGGAACUGAGACACGGUCCAGACUCCUACGGGAGGCAGCAGUAGGGAAUCUUCCGCAAUGGGCGAAAGUCUGACGGAGCAACGCCGCGUGAGUGAUGAAGGUCUUCGGAUCGUAAAACUCUGUUAUUAGGGAAGAACAUAUGUGUAAGUAACUGUGCACAUCUUGACGGUACCUAAUCAGAAAGCCACGGCUAACUACGUGCCAGCAGCCGCGGUAAUACGUAGGUGGCAAGCGUUAUCCGGAAUUAUUGGGCGUAAAGCGCGCGUAGGCGGUUUUUUAAGUCUGAUGUGAAAGCCCACGGCUCAACCGUGGAGGGUCAUUGGAAACUGGAAAACUUGAGUGCAGAAGAGGAAAGUGGAAUUCCAUGUGUAGCGGUGAAAUGCGCAGAGAUAUGGAGGAACACCAGUGGCGAAGGCGACUUUCUGGUCUGUAACUGACGCUGAUGUGCGAAAGCGUGGGGAUCAAACAGGAUUAGAUANCCUGGUAGUCCACGCCGUAAACGAUGAGUGCUAAGUGUUAGGGGGUUUCCGC